GGGGAGCAUCCAAAAGCUUGAGAUGUUUCCUGAUACAACCUUCCAACAUAAAACCUCUGUAGUUUCCUGCUUGUAGUACUAGAGCAGUUCUGCAAGUCUCAGAUUACCAGAGACAUGU